AUUGAACGCUGGCGGCAGGCCUAACACAUGCAAGUCGAACGGUAACAGGAAGCAGCUUGCUGCUUUGCUGACGAGUGGCGGACGGGUGAGUAAUGUCUGGGAAACUGCCCGAUGGAGGGGGAUAACUACUGGAAACGGUAGCUAAUACCGCAUAACGUCGCAAGACCAAAGAGGGGGACCUUCGGGCCUCUUGCCAUCGGAUGUGCCCAGAUGGGAUUAGCUUGUUGGUGAGGUAACGGCUCACCAAGGCGACGAUCCCUAGCUGGUCUGAGAGGAUGACCAGCCACACUGGAACUGAGACACGGUCCAGACUCCUACGGGAGGCAGCAGUGGGGAAUAUUGCACAAUGGGCGCAAGCCUGAUGCAGCCAUGCCGCGUGUAUGAGGAAGGCCUUCGGGUUGUAAAGUACUUUCAGCGGGGAGGAAGGGGAUGUGGUUAAUAACCGCGUUCAUUGACGUUACCCGCAGAAGAAGCACCGGCUAACUCCGUGCCAGCCGCCGCGGUAAAAC
rnacentral:rRNA from 1 species